rnacentral:lncRNA from 1 species
GUCAACUGGGGGUGUGGGUGUAGUGCCAGCGAAGUCUUGCGUGUAUUAAGCCUCCCUUGCAUUUCACGUCAAGGCAAGCCUCCCACAUCUGAGAAGCAGAGUAUAUGCCCUAGAGUGCAGCUGCAUGAUGAUACACUCCCUGGAUGUACAGUUAUCACAAAAGGAAUUACGAGAGAAACAAUGACUUAGAUGAGCACAGUAGAAAAUGCAAGCAGGAAACCUUUGAGAUGGCCAUUAGAGAAUUUGGCAAGGAGUUGCUUCACGAGCAUUAAGGAGUCUUUCACACAAGAUGCCCCUACUUGUGGAAGUCAUUAAAUCUAUGAAAUGUAAACCUUAAAAAUGAAAGCAAGAAGUGUCAGACCAGAAGAUCCUAAAGCAAUAGGCAAGGAAUUUGUUCAGGAACAAGGAAACGCAGCACCCGAGAAACAAAUGUGAUUCAGCGUGUUGGAGGCAUCAUGUUCCCCAGAUCUGAUCUGUUCCUGAUUUCACUGAAAUUAAAGGCUGUGUUGUGUUUGGUUUCUGUCACAGGGGAGUUGGGCUCACAGGAGCUGAGCAGAUGCCCUGGUGAUACGCUAGUUAAGCUGUUGCAGAAUGACUCAAGUGACUCUGACUUGGGCUAAAAGAGGAUCUAGUCUAAUAAGCGGGGUUGCAUUUUUGCCCUUGGUAACACGGUUGUGACUUGCACAGCUGUCUGCUGGAGAUUUAUACUGUGCUCUUUUCAAAUGUUCCCAUCAGCACUCCCACUCAGGCACUAGGCAGACUGAGUGAGUUCCCCUGUGUUUCGGGGGACUCAUACCACCAUGGUGUCAGACUUCCUUGACCUCUCAAAACAAAGGCCUCAGAUAAAAAAGAUCUGCUGGCUUCCCC